rnacentral:rRNA from 1 species
AAGGUAGCGAAAUUCCUUGUCGGGUAAGUUCCGACCUGCACGAAUGGCGUAACGAUCUCCACACUGUCUCGGCCAGAGACUCGGUGAAAUUGCAGUCGCGGUGAAAAUUCCGUGUACCCGCAGAAAGACGGAAAGACCCUGUGCACCUUUACUAUAGCUUGACAUUGGAUUUUGGGCCUGCAUGUGUAGGAUAGGUGGGAGGCUGUGAACCCUGUACGCCAGUAUGGGGGGAGCCAUCCUUGAAAUACCACCCUUGCAUGUUUAAGAUCCUAACUUCUUCCGGUUAUCCCGGAGAAAGACAGUGUCUGGCGGGUAGUUUGACUGGGGCGGUCGCCUCCUAAAGUGUAACGGAGGCAUGCAAAGGUUCCCUCAGCCUGAUCGGAAACCAGGCGCUGAGUGCAAACGCAUAAGGGAGCUUGACUGUAAGAGAGACAUCUCGAACAGGAACGAAAGUUGGCGUUAGUGAUCCGGUGGUCCCGAAUGGAAGGGCCAUCGCUCAUUGGAUAAAAGGUACGCCGGGGAUAACAGGCUGAUCGCAUCCAAGAGUUCACAUCGACGAUGCGGUUUGGCACCUCGAUGUCGGCUCAUCACAUCCUGGGGCUGAAGCAGGUCCCAAGGGUACGGCUGUUCGCCGAUUAAAGUGGUACGCGAGCUGGGUUUAAAACGUCGUGAGACAGUUUGGUCCCUAUCUUCUGUGGGCGAAGGAGAAUUGAGAGGGCCUGUCCCUAGUACGAGAGGACCGGGAUGGACGCACCCCUGGUGAUCCUGUUGUCGCGCCAGCGGCAUAGCAGGGUAGCUAUGUGCGGAAGGGAUAACCGCUGAAAGCAUCUAAGCGGGAAGCCUGCCUCAAGAUAAGUUCUCCCCUCGAAAGAGCUGAAGGGCCCGGGUAGACUACCCGGUCGAUAGGCUGGAGGUGUAAGCGCGGCGACGUGCUCAGCUGACCAGUACUAAUAGCCCGAGCGGCUUAUUUUU